UGACGUGUUGGGCAUCCAGGGCGGUGCCUGGCCCCAGAGAGACCCUCAACAGCUGGGAGCUUUCUUUCCUGUUUGCCGCCCCAUUCCUCGUAGAGGGGCCUACUCAAGUGAAGAAGCCAGGGGACAAACUUGAGAAGCUUCACCCUCAGAAAUAAGCCUGGAAAAGCCUGAGGCUCUCGGGGCCUCUGAACACUCACCAGCAAGCAAGUCGGGCAUUUUUAGGCCAGCGGGAACUAGGAAAUUUGAUGAGGUUCCUUAGGCCUGGGUUACUUGCCUCUUUUGCUUUUGACUUUUGUACCUUUCCUUCCCCGAUUUCUUCCUCAGGGUUGUUCGGCUAGAAGGCCUGGGAGUCGGUGAUCUAAGGAGCUGUGAGGCAGAGCACCUCUGGGCUGCCAGGCUGGGACACAAGGACACAAGGGAACACACGGGAACACAAUGACACAAGAAGGAGUAGAGACGAUAGACUGAGGCCUAUCCUGAAGCCGGGUGCAGGAGCAUGGAGGAGGGCAGAGGUCGGGGUGGGACUCAGAGCGGCCUACAUGGCUGGAAGCCCAGGCGGGCGCUCCAACACACAGCAAGAGCCCAAUAAUUGCUGGUUGUAGAAACAACUGAACAGAGAAGGUGAAGGAAGGGUUGGUGUGACAGAAUUCCAGCUGGAAGACCCGCUGGCCCUCCCAGGCCCUGGGGGCCCUAUGGACUCAUGGAGCUCACCCUCUCAGGGGCACAGAUACUCAACAACAUGGACAAGUAACAUCGAAGUAUUUGGGGUGUGACAACGGGAGGAAAACGAGGUGGGCUCUUCCAUAUGGUGGUAAACAGUCACCGGCACCUCAUGGCCCGCUCAUGGAAACUUUCUCAGAAGAGCAAGGAAGCUUUUCAUUCCAGAAGUCUUGAAUAAGUGUCCCUCUCUUGGCUCGUUGGUCUGAACAGUGUCAUGUACUCACUGCUGAACCAGUGAGAAUAGCCAGAAGAUGGAGCUACAUGGACUGGGCUGGGCCUGAACCACAUACUCUAUUCCUAGAGUGCUGGGUAGGACUGGCUUCCUUUCAGCAUCUGGGGAGACACAGAUAAUGGAAACAAAACCAAGAGUGAUCAUUGAGAGAAGGAGACUGGAUGUGGCUGACCGCUAGGGUCCACUACCUUCCGGGAGAAUUUAACAGGGCAUCCAGUGUGAAAGGAAAGGGGUACACAUCAACGAUCCAAG